rnacentral:tRNA from 1 species
GCCAAUUUGGUGUCACAUACGCACAUUGACCUUUCGCGUCAAAGGGGCAAACAAUGCAUUUGGCC